UACGUAGGUGGCAAGCGUUAUCCGGAUUUACUGGGUGUAAAGGGCGUGUAGGCGGGACUGCAAGUCAGAUGUGAAAAUUAUGGGCUCAACCCAUAACCUGCAUUUGAAACUGUAGUUCUUGAGUGAUGGAGAGGCAGGCGGAAUUCCGUGUGUAGCGGUGAAAUGCGUAGAUAUACGGGGGAACACCAGUGGCGAAGGCGGCCUGCUGGACAUUAACUGACGCUGAGGCGCGAAAGCGUGGGGAGCAAACAGG
rnacentral:rRNA from 1 species